GAUGGUUCGAUUAGUCUUUCGCCCCUAUACCCAGUUCAUACGAUCGAUUUGCACGUCAGAAUCGCUACGGACCUCCAUCAGGGUUUCCCCUGACUUCAUCCUGACCAGGCAUAGUUCACCAUCUUUCGGGUCCCAGCGUGUACGCUCUUGGUGCGCCGCAACUUGCAAUAAGUAUGCGACGCCCCGGGAAUGCGAGGUAACAUAAAUAACGUUACCCAUCUUCCCUUUAUAAAAUAUAAUUAUAAAAAUUAUAUAUAUAUUUACUUUCAUUACGCCUUUAGGUUUAUUAUAAAUACCCAAUGACUUGCGGACAUGCUAGAUG
rnacentral:rRNA from 1 species